AUGACAUCAUCAAGUUUCCUGAAGGCUAUAGCCGGAGCCACGAAAAAGUUCGGAAACAAAUUGCUUGGUCUUUGAGGAAUCGCCACACUGUCUUCCACAUGGAAAGGACACAAAUGGUUGAACUGAUUUACACUCCCACCAACUGUGUAUAAGUGUGCCUUUUUCUCCACAACCAGGAAGAUUGGAACUUGAUAGAGCAGAAGAUCAACUGAACGCUGGAAGACUCUCCAGUGUGAAAUGUUUAUUUCUAGGAUCUUCUGUUCAACCUUGGAGGCUUCAGAGUCCUAUGUAUAGUCUUAAACUGCUGAUCUAAAAAUGGUGCUCUGUUGCAGCAGAGUCCCACUCUUGUCACCCAGACUGAAGUGCAAUGGCAUAAUCUCGGCUCACGGCAACCUCUGCCUCCUGGGUUCAAGCGAUUCUCCUGCGUCAGCCUCCUGUGUAGCGGGGAUUACAGAUUUUGUGAAAAUAUUGGGAUCAUACCAUGUAGACAACUUUAUAUACUGCUGUACAACAUCUUUUAUGAAAAUUUCUUCAGAUCGCCAAAAAUUCUCUGAAAACAAUUUGCACUGGCUGCCUACUCUUCCAUUGACUGGAUACACCAUAAUAAAAACAUUCAUUUUUUUUCACACGUUCUGGAGGCUGGAAAGUCCAAGGUAGAUGGACCACAUCUGGUGACGGCCUUCUUGCUGAGUCAUCCCAGGGCAGAAGGCAGAAGGGCAAGAAAGCAUGAGAGCAAAAACAAGCACACUCUCGCGAUAACUAACCCACUCCGUGAUUACAACAUUAUGAAGGAGUCAUAAUUGCCUCUUAUUGGGCUCCAGCCCCCAAUAUUGUUGCAUUUUGGAUUAAGUUUUCAACGUAAGAACUUUGGGUGACACAUUUAAACCAUAGCAUCUGAGGAAGAGAGCAUUGGUUGCUUCUGAGUUUUGGCAGUUAUGAAUAAAAUUGUUAUACAUAUCGGUGUGUAGGUUUUUGUGUAGACAUGUUUUCAACUGAUUCGGGUAAAUGCCAAGGAGCACAACUGCUGAAUUAUAUGGUAAGAGUAUGCUUAGCUUUGUAAGAAACUGCCAAACUAUAUUGCAAAAUGGCUGUGUCAUUUUGCAUUCACACCAGCAACAGAUGAUACUUUCUGUUGCUCCACAUCCUCAUCAGCAUUCGGUGUUUUCAGUGUUCUGGAUUUUCACCAUUCUAAUAAGUGUGUAGUGAUAUCUCAGUUUUAAUUUAACUCCCUAAUGGCAUAUGAUGAUGAGCAUCUUUUAAUAUGCGUUUUUGGGCCAUUCAUGAAUCUUUUUUUGGUGAAGUAUCUGUUCACAGCUUCUGCCCAUUUCAUAAUUGGGUUGUUCAUUUUCUUAUUGUUGAGCUUUAAGAGUUCAUUAUAUACUUUGGAAAACAGUCCUGUAUCAGAUAUGUCUUUUGCAAAUAUUUUCUUUCAGUCUCUGACGUGUCUUCUCAUUCUCUGGAGUGUAUGUUUUUGUUUGUUUUGCCUGCUAUGUCAUAAAUCUGACAUUAUUUAAAUAUCUCCUUCCAUCCUGACUGUUUAUUUAAUGUUGACUGUGAUAAUUUUUUAAUUCAUGUUUACUUUAAGAGGCAUUUGAAAGAAGCUCCUGAUAAGUUCAGAUACUGUCUAAUAUAAUGUUAAUGCAAAAUUUUCAGUUUAAAUUAUGUAGGUGACAAGGAGUCAAAUGUAACAGAGUCACACUGUAAUGAAUGUUGGGUGGUCACAAAACGUUUAUGUAUCAGGCAGUGACUCAUUUUGGCACACCAAAGCAAAAUUCAAAUGGUUACCUCAGCAAAAUGACAAAGCACUGCAUGCCAUGGACUUUCUGGGUUGCUUAUGAAUAGCUGAAACAGGAAAUGUUAAGUACACAAAUGGUGAGAAAACACUAUAUUUCAAAUAAAGAAACAAAUGUAUUUAAUC